rnacentral:rRNA from 1 species
GUGCCAGCAGCCGCGGUAAUACAGAGGUGGCAAGCGUUGUUCGGAAUUACUGGGCGUAAAGGGCGCGUAGGCGGUUCUGUAAGUCCCGUGUGAAAUCCCCCGGCUCAACUGGGGAAUGGCACGGGAGACUGCGGGGCUUGAGUUCGGGAGAGGGAAGCGGAAUUCCGGGUGUAGCGGUGAAAUGCGUAGAUAUCCGGAGGAACACCGGUGGCGAAGGCGGCUUCCUGGACCGACACUGACGCUAAGGCGCGAAAGCUAGGGGAGCAAACGGGAUUAGAAACCCCUGUAGUCC